AGCGAACGCUAGCGGCAGGCCUAACACAUGCAAGUCGAACGGAUCCUUCGGGAUUAGUGGCGGACGGGUGAGUAACACGUGGGAACGUGCCCUUUGGUUCGGAACAACUCAGGGAAACUUGAGCUAAUACCGGAUGUGCCCUUCGGGGGAAAGAUUUAUCGCCAUUGGAGCGGCCCGCGUCUGAUUAGCUAGUUGGUGGGGUAAAGGCCCACCAAGGCGACGAUCAGUAGCUGGUCUGAGAGGAUGAUCAGCCACAUUGGGACUGAGACACGGCCCAAACUCCUACGGGAGGCAGCAGUGGGGAAUCUUGCGCAAUGGGCGAAAGCCUGACGCAGCCAUGCCGCGUGAAUGAUGAAGGUCUUAGGAUUGUAAAAUUCUUUCACCGGGGACGAUAAUGAUGGUACCCGGAGAAGAAGCCCCGGCUAACUUCGUGCCAGCCGCCGCAGUAA
rnacentral:rRNA from 1 species